AUGCAUCUCGAUGCGGUAAUGUUUGGCCUAAGGACAAAAAAACAAAUGACCACUAAUUUCUCGCCAUUCUAUAUGAUGUUUGGAAGAGAGGCGCGAUAUCCAUCCCAGAUCCCAGAGCAGUACCAGAUUGACAGCAGUGUCGAGGACGCUGUGGCCAAAGACAACCUGACCGACUCUGCCCUCAAUAUCAGCAAAAUUCUCUCGUGUGCUGAGGGGAACACCAAGAAAGCACAAGAGAAGAUGAAGAGGAUGUCCCAAAAAUCAUCGAUGCAGAAAUUCAAUGUUGGUGACAUGGUCUGGAGGUUGAACAUUAGGAGCCGGCAAAGGAAAGGAGGCAAGCUGGACCCCAAUUUCCUGGGGCCAUACACUGUGUUGUCAGUUGAGAACAAAAGUGCUGACUUGGUGGACGUGAAUGGUGUUGUCUUUCCAAAGAUCAAUAUUGACCACCUGAAGCAUCACCAUGCACAGAGUCCUCACAUCCCCCAAAAUUUGAAGGUAAACCUCAAGCUAGCCGGCACCACAUUGGCAGCAUCCACCCCACCAGCAUCCACCCCAGCACCAGCAUCCACCCCACCAGCAUGCACCCCAGCACCAGCAUCCACCCCACCAGCAUCCACCCCACCACCAGCAUCCACCCCACCAGCAUCCACCCCACCAGCAUCCACCCCAGCACCAGCAUCCACCCCACCAGCAUCCACCCCACCAGCAUCCACCCCACCAGCAUGCACCCCAGCACCAGCAUCCACCCCACCAGCAUCCACCCCAGCACCAGCAUCCACCGCACCAGCAUCCACCCCACCAGCAUCCACCCCAGCACCAGCAUCCACCCCACCAGCAUCCACCCCAGCACCAGCAUCCACCCCAGCAGCAUCCACCCCACCAGCAUCCACCCCACCAGCAUCCACCCCAGCACCAGCAUCCACCCCAGCAGCAUCCACCCCACCAGCAUCCACCCCAGCAGCAUCCACCCCACCAGCAUCCACCCCAGCAGCAUCCACCCCAGCAGCAUCCACCCCAGCAGCAUCCACCCCACCAGCAUCCACCCCACCAGCAUCCACCCCAGCAGCAUCCACCCCAGCAGCAUCCCCAGUCACAGACCCAGCUAAAUGUAUGUGAUAUGAAUGUUUGGAGAUUUGCUGAAGUUCAUUAUAUAUAUGUAUAAACAUGUGAUUUAUAAUCUAAUGUUAUGGUUUUCUACAUGUUAAAUAUUAUGUGGAUGCUUCCAGUAUUUAUUAUACCUUAAUAUUGCAGGUGUAGAAGAAGCUUGGCAGGGAACAGAUGUCUAUGUGCUGCUCUCAAAAAUAGGGCCAUACCUAAUCUUCUUUGCCGACAUCGCAAGAACCGCUCCAGAUAUGGAGUUUGAGAGUGAGGUAAGACCUCACCUUGCUCAUAGUAAAGGACUAACUACUUUCACGUUGUUACAUAUGUUGUUAGAGCAUAUAUUUUUGACAUCACUACUCUGGUAUCACUUAUAGUACAGUUUAAUUUAUCAGGAUCAUUAGCAUUUUAGUACUCUGUUUUUCCAUUGUAAGUGUUACAUUUGACCUACCCAUGUGAUUAAACAGCAUUUUAUUCAUCUAACUGAUUAUCUUUCUUGUCUUUAUUUCUUUCUUUCAGGUCAUGAAUGCCUACAUGCAGCUACUGGUGCGAGACUUUAAUGCGAAGUCAACCGACAGGGCUAUGGCAAUAGACACAUUUGAGAUGUCCAACAUAUGGAAAAGGAAACAACCAAAAGUGAAGGUUAGGGAAAGCUUUGCCUGCUCCAAUACUGAACUGAUGUGUCUCUACAAAGUUAUGAACUCCAUAAAUAAUUGGAACUUUUUAUUCUUUUAGCUGGAUCCACACAUGUACAAGUACAUCCUUGGGAUCAUCAAUGAGAACCACCACUGGAAACUCACUGUAAGUGAAAUCUUGCGGCAUACAUAAAGUCAUAAAUUACUCUUACGAUCCUUUAUUUUA
ensembl:lncRNA